rnacentral:misc_RNA from 1 species
CUUGAGCUAUGUCUAAUCAAUGUAACACUUGUUAUAUGGCAUUCUGGCUCAAUUGGUGCAUCGAGAACCUUUACAUGAAUGGAAUCAGUUAAAGGUAGUUCCUGAGCUGAACAGACGUACAAUUAAUGCAUGGGAAAAAAAAGGAUGGUGUCUAAUAAGUUAGGGUGCAAUUAAGUACUGUAAUUUGUAGCUCAAGUGGAACACUGUAUUGCAACAAGAUGGAUUAGAUGUGGGUUCUGGACAAUGAUUCUAAUGUCAAUGUCUUUAAUAUGGAACAUCAAUUUGUACCACAAAAUGUAGAUGUCAAUGUUGAUCUCAAAUUCUAUUUGCAAUUUAGAGUGUUAUUACUUGCUUCACAUGUGAAUGCAUGCACAUAGGAUGAUGUCACAAACAUGCAUAAUUUGUUUGGCUGUAUGCAACCAAUGUAUCUGCAAUAUUCAGGAUAAAUUUUUGAUGUGUAUACCAGAAUAUUGAGUGAUAUGGUGUCAAGAUGGAAUAUAAUAGGAUUUUGUAUCACAAGAAUGUGAUAUCGUAAGGCAUGACUUUGGAUUGACGUAUAGUCUUUUUAGGAAAGUUGAGAGUCAGAUUCAUAAUUGGAUUUGGGUUUUGAGAGCAUGAUAAAGAGCAUAGAGCUAUACUUUGAGUGAAUGAGCUUAUUGCGACAUUUCUAUGUCACUCUUUAUUGAGGAUGGGCAUCUGUCAUUGACAUGAUUCAGCUGAAGUGAGCUCUCGUUUAAUGUUUGAAGUUCAUGAUUAAUUAUAUGGGCUUAAUUUCACCCAUGGUGAUGGAACUUAUUGUGGAUUUCAGCAUAUCAAAUUCAAUUUGUAUCAACAAAGUCUCCCUACUGUAAUUUUAUUUCGAUAAGAACGCUUUUGCUAGAAUUUUAGCCAGAUUUUUGACAUUAUGACCGAUUGAAAAUUUUCUAAUUGAGCUCUUUGGGAUAAGCUUUGUGUUAUUUACUUACAUAUAUAAUUUGGCUAAAUUUGUACAAACAUUUAGUAAUAGUGACCUCAUUGAAAAGAAUCAAAGUUUUAACUUUUUAAGUAAUUUCGCUAAUAUAAUUUGAAAUUCAAUGACCAACUGAAUUUUAGUGACAUUUUAAAUGAUCACGAGUGAAAUUAACCCAAUUAUUUGUGCUGAAAAUAGUGAUUGAAAGUGGCUUCAUCUUCUGACAAUUGUUGGCUUGAGUUUUUUUGUGACUUUGUGAUAAAUUUAUGGUUUGAUUAACUGUUUGGGUGAGUUUCAAGAAUGACUUAGUGAAUUUAAGUGGGUUUGAAGGGGAAAAUGAUGAAUUUUGAUGGUGAUCAUUUACCCUUUGAAAAGACAGCAAGUGGGAUGAUGCUUAGGUUGAUGAUCUGAAAUGGGGUUGGUUAAAUAAUUGUUUUUCCCUGGUUUAUCUUAGUUAUAAAGCUGCAUGUUCCAAUUUUGGCCUUGGUAGACACAACUCAGGCAGUGCACCUUGCCUAGGGAAAUGGUAGGGCUAGUUUCUAUUAAUUGGUUUAUUUCAGUAAGAGAUUAGUUGCUAUUGUGUAGCUCGGGUUGGUAUUGGGAAUGGAAGGAAUAUACUUGAGUCUUUAAUCCAUGGAACCUUUGAGAUCAAACUUGAGCUUACCCUGAUUCUCGCCUUCUUUUUUUCUUUUUCUUUUUAAUUUUUUUUUAAGUUUUUGUUGUUUUGUACUAUGCCAGUUGUGUUUCAUGGAAGGCUGCACUUGAGAUUGGAUUCCCCAUGUUUCUCUGAAGAAUUUAUUGCCAUGUCCCUUCUUGAUUUCCUAAACAACUUAACCACACAUAGGCUUGUGUAUUCUGACUUGCUUCCCUUUCUUGUUCAUCCUCAUUCAGUUUCAUUUAUUAAAAGAUAAAAACAGAAAUGGACUAUUAUGACAAGACACAAGAAGCUGCAUUGCAAGCAAAUGCCAAACCUGUUUUGGUUAUGUGCUUUAACCUGCGUAACUGCUUCAAAACCUCAAUUUUUGGAUUAUCAAUUCACUCUCCCAUCACUUUAGCCUAGGCAUUAUUAUUUUGAUAACAAUCUCUUGAGCAGUUAAGAGGGAACUUAUAUUGUAUAUUUUACUUGUAUAGGGCCGAUUUGAGAUACUAUGCU